CCUACGGGUGGCAGCCGUGGGGAAUCUUUGGCAAUGGGCGCAAGCCUGACCCAGCAACGCCGCGUGAAGGAAGAAGGCUUUCGGGUUGUAAAAUUCUUUUCCCAGGGACGAAGAAAGUGACGGUACCUGAGGAAUAAGCCACGGCUAACUACGUUCAAGCAGCCGCGGUAAUACGUAGGUGGCAAGAGUUAUCCGGAUAUAUUGGGUGUAAAGGGCGUGUAGGCGGGAGCGCAAGUCAGAUGUGAAAACUAAGGGCUCAACCCUGAGCCUGCAUUUGAUACUGUGUUACGUGAGUGCUGGAGAGGCAAGCGGAAUUCCGGGUGUAGCGGGGAAAGGCGUAGAUAUACGGAGGAACACCAGUGGCGAAGGAGGAUUGCUGGACAGUAACUGACGCUGAGGCGCGAAAGCGUGGGGAGCAAACAGGAUUAGAUACCCCUGUAGUC
rnacentral:rRNA from 1 species